ACACAGAGUUGGCCAUCAUCGCCACAGCUGAAGAAAUUCUCUUCGUUUAUUAGUUUCACAGCGUCUAUGCUACCGGAAUGACCGUUAAAUAUCAACUGCGACUCCUCUACUAUCUUCCAUACCCGUAUCGUCCCAUCGAAACCGCCACUGGUUAUUGCUCUUUCGCGCGAAAGCGCGUCUAUUGAUGUGAUCCCAUUCUGGUGACCGAACCUGGUGAUCAUAAGGAUAUCGAAAUUAGACAUUACAGAUAAAGUGUACCACAUAGUCAUAGUCUUACUCACAUGGAUUCGACGUAGGCCAUGUCAUCCAAGUUCCAAACUUUCACGCUGCGAUCCUCAGAGGCAGAGUAUAACAUUUUCAGCUUCCUCUUCAUCACUGGAUUCAUCUUCUUGGUGAAUUUUUCUCUCUCUGAAGGGAAUAAAAAAUUAAGCCUAGUCUCUGAUGGUAUGCAGACAUUACAUGGAUGUAAUACAGAAAACACUAGAAAGUAGACUUCUGAUGCAAUGAACGACAUUUAAAAAAAUUCAUUCAAUAAAUGAAUGCACUGCAAAUAUACACGUAUGUAACUACCGCACCUUUCCUCAGCAAAUUCUUCGUCACUGCUCGCAAUACUCUCGUCAUCCUCGGGAUUUGAUUUGGCACCUUUGGUUUUUACUUUGGACGGAGGACCCUUUACCACUUUUUUGCCAACAUUCCCAUUGGCCUGUGAACAAAAUAAAAUAAUAGAGCUCCAGAUCAUUGUCAAGCUUUCUUUGAUGUGACAUAAUAAGGACGGUCGACGAGUGCCAUAGCUUUCU
rnacentral:misc_RNA from 1 species